GCGCACGGUGGCUUAGUGGUUAGCAUGUUCGCCUCACAACUUCAGGGUCCGGAGUUCGAUUCCCGCUGGGGCC